rnacentral:lncRNA from 1 species
ACCACUUCAUAAUCAGGAUAAUAUCAACAAAAGACAUUGCAGAUACUUUACAUGCCCCCACGGGGUACUUUCUCAAUUCCUCACAGGGAACAAAAGGUGUGAAUCCUAAGGAGCCCUAACUACACGCGCCCUCAUAGCCGACACCAUCAUCAACACUGGGCCACGAGGGGCUGGCGCCAACCCCUGAAGGAAAUAUGCCCUAGAGUCAAUAAUAAAGUUAUUACUUAUUUUUUCGUAUCAUGAUAAAUGUUUAUUAUUCAUGCUAGAAUUGUAUUAACCGGAAACACAAUACAUGUGUGAAUACAUAGACAAACUUAACGUCACUAGUAUGCCCGACCUAGGCUCAGCAGGGAGGUCCCCGCCGGUCUACAUCCUAAGCACUCCGGGGUCUUGGGCCCAUCGCCCGCAGCACUCCGGGUCGUUGCGAGCAGGGUGGAUACCAGCACCGCCUCGGAUGGCUAGCGCGAUCCGACCGUGCCGCACUGCUGAACUGGACAUCUGACAAAGCUUCGGCUGAUACUGCGACAUCGAGGAACAUAUCUAUUCUCGCGUGGUGGUUAGUGCGUAAAGGCCAAAGGCCAACUCAGAACAAAUACCCAAACCAUAGUGUAUUAUUAGCUUGCGGAGACGAGCAGAGACUCACGACCGAAAGUGACCCCAUCGCCCCGUCUCGUGGACUUACGACAAGGGCCUAGAAUGCCCGGUCGUGCCACGUCAUUAUCUUGCGGGUGCUCUCCGGGCCCGCCCGACUUCCACCAAGGUCUCAAGUAAAGUCAAAGUAACCAUGUGUCCAAACAUCAAGGGGAAAACCCGAGGAAUCACCCCCGGUGGAUUCCACUCAAUGUAAUCAUUAAGGUGAACGUAAGAGGGACCACCCUCGAGGUUCACUCUUGAGGUGUUGAACGACAGAGCCGUAUCAGGAAUGGUGAAAGAGGAAAUCACCCUCGAUGACCAUGACCGAAUAGCUACACUACAGAAUUAUCAUCAGGAGUGCGUUAUGAGGGAUCACCCUCAGCACUCGAUAGUAGCUCUGCAGAGUCGAGCAACAAAAGGGGUGUGAUGUGAUGUGAGGUGUCGGGCUCUAGUCGUCGAUCAUGCUGAUCGAGUCGUCGAUGAUGAAGCAGGGGCAACAAGGACAAGGUGGGGGUCUCUGAUGGAUCACUAACCAACCUAUACUAAGCAGUUUAGGAUAAGCAGGUAGGUAACAAUAGCAGAUACAAAAGCAGGCUAUGCAUCAGAAUAGAAGCAAACAAUAACAGUAGCAAAAUCUAAUGCAAGCAUGAAAGUAUAGAAUGGGCGAUAUCGGGAUGAUCAAAGGGGGGGCUUGCCUAGUUGCUCAGACAAGGAGGGUCGUCGUCGACGUAGUCGGUCACAGGGACAUCAGCAUCGGUCUCGGGGUCUACCGGAGAGAAGAGGGGGAAGAAACAGUAAAUACACGCAAACAUAUGCAUAACAAGACAAUAAGCAAUGCUAGAGGUGAUCUAACGUAGCAUCAGGCGAUACUGGCAAAGGGGGGAAACAUCCGAGAAAGUUUUCCCGGUUCCGGAUGUCUAUUAGACAGAUGAAAUGGAGGGGAAAAGUUCAACGUUUGCUAUGCUAGGGAUGUGUGGCGAGUGAACGGAUCGCGUGUCCAGAUUUGUCUCGUCGUUCUAAGCAAUUUUCAUGUACAAAGUUUUUCGAUCCGAGUUACGGUUAAUUUUCUAUGACUUUUCAACGUUUUAAUUAUUUUCUAAAAAUACCUAGAUUUAAUAUUAAUUCGAAAAUACACCUAAAAAUACUAGAUGCACCCAGUCCAAUGAACCCAGCAGUGCAUUAGAGGCUGACAGUGGGUCCCAGUUGACUGCCCAGUCAGCAGUCAACUGUGGACUUUGACUAGUCAAAUUUACUAAGGGACCCACCUGUCAUUGGGACAAACUUAACAAUUUUCUUUUAGAUGGAUAAGUUGAGGUGGGGGGCACUGUCAUAGACUAAACUAGCCACUAAUUAAACCCUAAAACUAUCCUAUCCCUAAUUAACUAAACCGGCCAGAAGCACAGGCCUAUGCACGCCAUGCAUACACGCACGGCCAUGGCCAAGUAGCAAGCACGGCCAGUAGCAACAGAAACAGCAGCGUAGCUGCGGGAGUAGCAGGGAGGCACGACAGCGGGUAACAACGGGUGCGCGUCGGAGCAGCAGGUGCGACCAGGAGCAGGGGUUGCCGCACACGGCCGCGUUCGCGUGGCAGGGGCGCGGCCAGGACCGAGGCACGGCGCGCGGGAGAGCAGAGCUCCGGCCACGGAGACGACGAGCGCACGACAGUAGCGGCGGCAAAAACUAGCGGGAGCAGCGGCUGCGGCAAGCGAGAGGGGCAGCAGCGCAGCGUGGCGGCGGACGGCUAAGGCGCGCGCGGCGCUGGGGCGCGCACGUACGCGGAAACUUGAGCAUGGCCAUGGACGAGGACGACCGAGCUCGGGGACGACGGCAAACAGUGACGAACGGAAGGGGAAUGGGGGGAAAUCGGCAGAGGAGCUCACCGCGAGCUUGAUGGCGCGGUCGGGGAGGCUGGAGGUGGACCGGAGGCGACAAAUCCGACGACGAACGGCGGUGGCCGUGGCGAGGAAGACGGCCAGAUGGCGAGGUUGUGGAGAGCUCCAGCUUGAACCAGAGGUGAUAGGCGAUGCAGACGAGGCCGAUGGAGCUCUAGAGCAUAUCCUCGUGGGUCGGGGACGGCUCCGGUCAGGGGAACAACGGUGGUGCGGCCAUGUACGUGCUCGGAUGCUGCGGAUCUGGAGGGUGAGCACGGGCGAGAGGAAGAGGGAGAGCGGGGUGGAUCUGGGAGGUGAGGCAAGUGGGGAGGGGAGACGGGGAAGCCCGAGGCGUCAGGGGAUCUUAUCCCCUCGCCGACGACGCUGGUGAGCCGGUCGGGUGGCGACCGCGACCGAGCGGUCGGUCGAGCAGUAGAAGACGACCGAGGGUGGGGGUUGGGCUGCUGGGCA